AUACGGAGGGUGCAAGCGUUGUCCGGAUUUAUUGGGUUUAAAGGGUGCGUAGGCGGCCAAUUAAGUCAGUGGUGAAAUGUAUCAGCUUAACUGAUGAGGUGCCAUUGAAACUGAUUGGCUUGAGUACAGACGAGGUAGGCGGAAUUUAUGGUGUAGCGGUGAAAUGCAUAGAUACCAUAAAGAACACCGAUAGCGAAGGCAGCUUACUAGACUGUUACUGACGCUGAGGCACGAAAGCGUGGGGAGCGAACAGGAUUAGAAACCCUAGUAGUCC
rnacentral:rRNA from 1 species